UACGAAGGGGGCUAGCGUUGCUCGGAAUUACUGGGCGUAAAGCGCACGUAGGCGGCUUUCUAAGUCGGAGGUGAAAUCCUGGAGCUCAACUCCAGAACUGCCUUCGAUACUGGAGAGCUUGAGUCCGGGAGAGGUGAGUGGAACUGCGAGUGUAGAGGUGAAAUUCGUAGAUAUUCGCAAGAACACCCGUGGCGAAGGCGGCUCUCUGGGACGGUACUGACGGCUGAGUCGC
rnacentral:rRNA from 1 species